GCUGUGGAUACUGCUACGCAUCGGAAGCAUGUUCUUCUGCUCUCACCCUCUUUGAGAUGCACAGUGCAUUCAACUUAUUAGACUAGUUUUAUACCAGUGAUUACUCAAAAAAUCUCUGGGAAAGAAUACAAGCUUUUAUUAAAAAUUUUAUUCAAAUUAGAACGUUCCAUGCUUAAAUCAGCAAAUAAGUUCAUAAUGAAUAAUUAAAACAAGCUUUUUAGUUUAAUAUGCUGUACAACGUCAGUGACUAAUAAAGACUGCAUUUGUUUUUGUUUUUUUACAAUGAUGGUGACAGCCUUAAUAAUCUUAUUAUUUAAAAGAAAACUAUUUGUUUUCAAAAAACACUUGAGGUUUAAACUACAAAAAAAAUAAACUGAUAAAAAUAUAUGGUAAUGUAGAAAAAACAAACAAACCCAAAACAAUCCCUGUGAUACAAAGGAUGAUUGUUCACCUUCAGCUAGGGAAGUACUGACUUAAAUUCAGCAAGUUUAAUGUUACCCGUGUCAUGUAAAGUGAGGUUCAAUAUACAAACAAGAUAAGAAUCACACUUUACCCAGAGUACAGUGGUCAAACAUGAGACUUUGAUUCAUGAAGCUGUAACGCAGUUGUGUUCAAAUCCCAACGAAGCAUUGAAUGUCUUUUAAUCAGCCUAAACAUGCAUUAAAAUAAAAUUAAAAUCUAAACAACCCAAACCAUAACAGCACAGCUUCUGUGGCUCAGGGGUUAAAGACUUCAGUCUGAAACAUGAAAGGCCUGGUUUGAAUCCUACAUCAAUUAAAAUUAUCCAUCAUUUAAAAAAAAAUCUCAAUAAAGGCCUGCUCACAACUCUCCUCAGCUCCACAGACUCAGUUGCUCAAGAGAUAAAGCUGUGUCUUUAUCCAAGAGAUCUGAGUUCAAAACCCACUAUUGCAAAUUUAAAUCAAUCUCAUUCAAUAAAGUCAUUCAAACGCCAAAACACAAUGUGAAGUCCAUGACGGGUUAGUGGGUAAACACACGUUUUCUGAUGAUGUUCCUGUGAUGAAGACAUGGGUUCAAAUCCUAUCUCAUUAUAUCACAUACACAGCUUUCUUUAACGUCUUUAUUGGGAACACACAGGUCAACAGUCAAAUAUAAGUUACUUCACACACUCCAACAAGAGACCUGUGGCUCACAGGUAAGAGCGCUGCCUCACGGGUUCAGAGGUUGCUGGUUCAAUCCCAGCCAGGUCUCUGCGAUAUGAGUGAAUGCUGGAGUGUGUGUGAAGGUGUGCCUGAAGAAGGGGGAUACCAGUACGGUCUCCCCCUGGAGCUUCUGGCACUGUGACCAGCAGCGGUUAUGAUUUUGUCCAGACUGGAAAAAAUAAAAUAAAGCUGAAUAAAAAUUAUCAACCCGUCCCUUCCCCAACUACUGAGGUUACCAUAAUUCACUUUUCAAAGGAGAAACCCCUCAGAAAGAAAAUGAUGGUAACCUAGAUGUUUAGUGCACUAGAACACAGAUUCACACAGUAGAUACAUCACCUGUUCAUGAGCAGAUGUCCAUCAUUACAGUCACUGUCUGUCCACACGUCCAG
ensembl:lncRNA